rnacentral:rRNA from 1 species
CAAGUCGAGCGGUACAUGGUUUGUAGCAAUACGAAUUGAUGACGAGCGGCGGACGGGUGAGGAACACGUAGGAACCUACCCAAAAGAGGGGGAUAACUAAGGGAAACUUUAGCUAAUACCGCGUAAACUCGAGAGAGGAAAGCUGCUGGCAACGGUGGCGCUUUUGGAGGGGCCUGCGUCCGAUUAGCUAGUUGGUGGGGUAAGAGCCCACCAAGGCGAUGAUCGGUAACUGGUCUGAGAGGACGACCAGUCACACUGGGACUGAGACACGGCCCAGACUCCUACGGGAGGCAGCAGUGGGGAAUCUUGGACAAUGGGGGCAACCCUGAUCCAGCGAUGCCGCGUGAGUGAAGAAGGCCUUCNGGUCGUAAAGCUCUUUAGGUUGGGAAGAAGUGUGAUAGAGGAAAUGCUAUUACAUUGACGGUACCGACAGAAUAAGCACCGGCAAACUCUGUGCCAGCAGCCGCGGUAAUACAGAGGGUGCGAGCGUUAAUCGGAAUUACUGGGCGUAAAGGGCGCGUAGGCGGUUUUAUGAGUGUGAUGUGAAAGCCCCGGGCUUAACCUGGGAAGGGCAUCGCAAACGAUAAGACUGGAGUAUAUGAGAGGGUGGCGGAAUUUCCGGUGUAGCGGUGAAAUGCGUAGAGAUCGGAAGGAACGUCGAUGGCGAAGGCAGCCACCUGGCAUAAUACUGACGCUGAGGCGCGAAAGCGUGGGGAGCGAACAGGAUUAGAUACCCUGGUAGUCCACGCUGUAAACGAUGAGAACUAGAUGUUAGUAGGGGAACCUAUUAGUAUCGAAGCUAACGCGAUAAGUUUUCCGCCUGGGAAGUACGGCCNCAAGGUUGAAACUCAAAUGAAUUGACGG